rnacentral:rRNA from 1 species
GACGAACGCUGGCGGCGUGCUUAACACAUGCAAGUCGAGCGGAGCGGCGAACGGGUGAGUAACGCGUGAGUAACUGCCCCCCUCUCUGGGAUGACAGUUGGAAACGGCAGCUAAUACCGGAUAGUGGGGGAUGACUCGCGUCCUAUCCGCUUGUUGGUGAGGUAGGGGCAUACCAAGGCGAAGACGGGUAGCCGGCCUGGGGGGGCGACCGGCCACAUGGGGCUGAGAUACGUCCCAGACUCCUACGGGGGGCAGUAGUGGGGAAUAUUGUACAAUCGGCGAAACCCUGAUGCAGAAACGCCGCGGUCGGGAUGACGGCCUUCUGGUUGUAAACAGCUUUCAGCCAUGACGCGGUAGUGGCAGAAGAAGCACCGGCUAACUACGUGCCAGCAGCCGCGGUAAUUC